UAGAGGUAAAUGAAGAGCGUAUUCUGACUUCUUUGGACAAGCCUCUUUUAGGCAAUAUUUUGUUUACCUUAUCCCAGUUCGUUCUUGCAAAUGGUGCUUGCCAAGGUGGAAUUACAGGACUCUCUACUGCCCAGCUCGCCUGCUGGGGCUUUCUUUUAUUCUCUCUUUCACUGGGAGGCUGCAGGUCAUUCCCCAAGAGCAUUCCUGGGGCUGGGUGCCCUGGAGGACAAGCCUAUGCUCUGAGUUACAUCUUGCUUUCUGAGAGCCCUUUAUUCAAGCCACUGCUCAGCAAAUGCCACCAUUGUGAGUUUGCCUGGAACCCUUAGAAUGAGAAAAGUGAUCUCCCUAUGAGAGGAAGAGAGUGUGGAACUCACUUCUACGUGCAGUGCCGAUCCCAGGGCAAUGCGACGCUUGCUGACUGACUCACUAUGGAAAAGGAGGACAAGGCAUUGGCGAGGUGUGGCACUGUGCCCUGCUGGUGCCCAUAGCCGAUUCCUCAGGGCUGCGGUGAUGUCUCCUGGAAUGGGCACUGGUCCUCUUCAUCAUCUCAGGGAUAGGUAGCUCCUCCUUCCAACCUGUCCCCAUUCUGAAGUCUCUGGGCUGUGAUAGGCUGCUCUCUUGUCACAGACAUAUGUUUGUUUGAUGCAUAUAGAAUGUAUAAAAGUAUAGGUGUUCUGUCGUCCCAGCACUUUGGGAGGCCAAAGCCGGAGGAUUGCUUGAGAUCAGGAGUUUGAGACCAGCUUAGGCAACAUAUAUAUAUGAAACCAAAAAAAGCCAGGCGUGAUGGUGCACACCUGUGGUCCCAGCUACUUGGGAGACUAAGGCAGGGGGAUUGCUUGAGCCUGGGAAAUUGAGGCUGCAGUAGGCUGUGCACACCACUGCACUCCACCCUGUGCAACAGAGUGAGAACCUGUCUCAAAAUAAAGUAUAUGUAUGUACUACACACACAUAUACAUACGCACAUAUACAGCGUUCAAUGUGUUUUUCCUAUUAGAAAAUGCCAUUGUUUUUGGUGGGCUGUAAGAGAAGUGAAAGUUGCAGAAACACUUUCAUUCAUUCAUGUAGAAUUCAUGAGACUUAAGAAUUCAUUUCAUUCUGAGAUAAGAUAUACAGUGCCUCAAUCAAUGGGUGAUAGUUUUCAGUCAGGGAGAUCAAUGAAUCUGAAAUCACAUCCUUGAGUGAGACAACUCAGCCUGCUCUCUAUGCUACUAUGUUCUUAGGUAUCUUUUGGGUACACAGACAUAGCUUUCCCGGGUUUUGUGUUUAUUUUUUAAUUGCUAUGAAAACCUAUCUGAGAAGUAUUUUUAAGUGCUGGACUGGGAAGCUGCUUUCAACACAGCAUGAUGCAAGUUGCAUGUAAAUAAAGACAUGGUGGUAUAAUUCAUAGGCCAGGCAUAAACACUACCACAUCUAAAUUACCAACAGUGAUUUUGGAAUUUGCAAGCUGUCAUGAUGUCAGUUGAACUGGGUGACUUAAACUGACGGACCGGCCAGCCGUGUGGACAGAAGCUUACUGGCCUUUGGAGGCUUUGGGAAAGCUGACUAGCCAUGCCAAGAGAACAGCAUCUAGCAGGACUGUUUGGAUGGAAUAUUGGAAAGAAGAAGGAGGGUACACUGAGAGCAUGAAAACCAUAGCAAAACCUAAAAUCCAUGGAAAUACAGACAGCAAAGCUCCCUUUGGAUGACAUAGAUUUAUUACUUAGUAGUAUAUCAUGUACUGGCUGUCCCACAUUUUGAAAUUUAAUGGACUCGUGGUGAUCAGAAUAAAAGAAGCCUUCGAUGUGAGGCCCAGGCAUUAAGUACCAUGUGUGUGAUUCACGAGCCUUGGCAUCUGAACAAUUUUUUGGAAGGAUCCAUCAGGACAACACGUCGGGGGUGUACUAGUGAAGUGAUUUUCAAAAUGUGCUACUCAGACCUGUAGCAUCAGCAUUACCGGAUAAUUUGUUAGAAAUUCCAACUGUUAGGCCCCACUUUAGACCAACUGAAUGUGAAACUCUGGGAGUACAUGGGGCCCAGCAAUUUGUGUUUUUACAAGACUUACCAGGUGAUUCUGAGAACCACUGUGCUAGUGAAUUGUUCCUGUCUGUGGCCACGUAGAAUAAGAAAACCAUAGGGUUGGAAAAUGGGGAAAUUGAUGAGUGUUCGCUUAUGAGGAAAUGAAGAAUAGAUAGAAAAGAAUUAGUUAACUUUUGGAAUUCAAAAAAGAAGCAGUUUUGUAAAAGCCAGGAAUUUGAUUUGAAGGACUAAUUGCUUGCAGAAUCUUUGCUUUCUCAGAGAGGGGCACUCCAGAUCACUAGGUUACCGUGAAAUAUAUUGGUAUGGCUCUAAAAUCCUAGAAUAAUCUCUCUAGUGAGAAAAGGCAUACCUUUCCAUAUUAGGACAAAACUUCAAAUCAGGUUUGUAAAAUCCUAUAAGAUUAUUGUAUCCCAUUACCAUGGCCAACUUGUUUGUCUCUGGAGAUCCCAGUUUCUACAUCUGAAAACCAUAUGCAUUCCUGCUCACCAGGAAUUAUCUCGCUGAAUGAAGCAAGAGAUUCAGGAUGUGUAAGAGAACUUGUGAAGCAUUUGGAUUACCAAGAAAUGUGAAGUAUAAAGAUCAAGAAUGAUUAAUACAAACACUGAUGGUAAAGAGGUGUUUCGAAGUCGAUACAAAAUAUGAGUUGCUUAUUUCAGUCUCUCUUUGGUAUAUCUGCCUUUUUAGUGCUGACUCUAUCAUGUAUUCACUAUAUGAUUUUCAGUGAAUCACAUUUUUUAAAGCUUUUAAUCUGUUUCUUCAAAAAAUAUAUUUUUAAAUAAUAUUUACUCACAGGAUUGUUGUGAGAAUAAAAUUGAUUCGAUUGAUAUUUCAAAAAAGGAAUAUAUUUUUAAAAAAUAAAGCAAUACCAUUUUUGGAUAUGCUA